rnacentral:rRNA from 1 species
AAAGACUAAGCCAUGCAUGUCUAAGUAUAAAUGUUAUACAGUGAAACUGCGAAUGGCUCAUUAAAACAGUUAUAGUUUAUUUGAUAAUCGAAUUCUACAUGGAUAACCGUGGUAAUUCUAGAGCUAAUACAUGCUGGUUAGCCUGACUUCUCGGAAGGGCUGUAUUUAUUAGAUAACAAACCAAUAUUCCUCGUGUCUAUUGUGAUGACUCAUAGUAACUGAUCGAAUCGCAUGGGCCUUGCCCGCGAUACAUCAUUCAAGUUUCUGCCCCAUCAGCUUUCGAUGGUAGUGUAUUGGACUACCAUGGCUUUAACGGGUAACGGAGGAUUAGGGUUCGAUUCCGGAGAGGGAGCCUGAGAAACGGCUACCACAUCUAAGGAAGGCAGCAGGCGCGUAAAUUACCCAAUCCUGACUCAGGGAGGUAGUGACAAGAAAUAACGGACCGAGGCUUCACGCUUCGGGAUUGCAAUGAGUAGAAUUUAAACCCCUUUACGAGGAUCAAUUGGAGGGCAAGUCUGGUGCCAGCAGCCGCGGUAAUUCCAGCUCCAAUAGCGUAUAUUAAAGUUGUUGCAGUUAAAAAGCUCGUAGUUGGAUUUCUGGGAGGGCGCCAAUGUCCGCUCGUUCGCGUGUGCAGCGGCGCCCUUCCAUCCUUCUGUUAACGCUUCUUGGUAUUCAGUUACUGGUAGCGGGCUCAGAUAUUUUACCUUGAGAAAAUUAGAGUGUUCCAGGCAGGCUUGCGCCGGAAUACAUUAGCAUGGAAUAAUAGAAUAGGACUUUAGUCUCCUUUGUUGGUUUGAGGGACUGAAGUAAUGAUUAAUAGGGAUAGUUGGGGGCAUUAGUAUUUAAUUGUCAGAGGUGAAAUUCUCGGAUUUGUUAAAGACUAACUUAUGCGAAAGCAUUUGCCAAGGAUGUUUUCAUUAAUCAAGAGCGAAAGUUAGGGGAUCAAAGACGAUCAGAUACCGUCCUAGUCUUAACCAUAAACUAUGCCGACUAGGGAUCGGAGGCGCGCUUAAUCCGCCUUCGGCACCUUAUGAGAAAUCAAAGUCUUUGGGUUCUGGGGGGAGUAUGGUCGCAAGGCUGAAACUUAAAGGAAUUGACGGAAGGGCACCACCAGGAGUGGAGCUUGCGGCUCAAUUUGACUCAACACGGGAAAACUUACCAGGUCCAGACAUAGUGAGGAUUGACAGAUUGAUAGCUCUUUCUUGAUUCUAUGGGUGGUGGUGCAUGGCCGUUCUUAGUUGGUGGAGUGAUUUGUCUGGUUAAUUCCGUUAACGAACGAGACCUUAGCCUACUAACUAGUCGAGCCAAUCUCCGAUUGGCCGCGACUUCUUAGAGGGACUUUGUGGCUCCAAACACAAGGAAGUUUGAGGCAAUAACAGGUCUGUGAUGCCCUUAGAUGUCCUGGGCCGCACGCGUGCUACACUGACGCAUACAGCGAGUACAUCCCAGCUCCGCGAGGCCAGCUGGUAAUCAGCAAUAUGCGUCGUGAUGGGGAUAGAUCUUUGGAAUUAUAGAUCUUGAACGAGGAAUUCCUAGUAGGCGCAAGUCAUUACCUUGCGCCGAUUAAGUCCCUGCCCUUUGUACACACCGCCCGUCGCUCCUACCGAUUUCGAGUGGUCCGGUGAACCUUUUGGACUGCCAAGUAGGCCUCAAGCCGAAGGCGGAAAAUCAAGUAAACCAUAUCACUUAGAGGAAGGAGAAGUCGUAACAAGGUUUCCGUAGGUGAACCUGCGGAAGGAUCAUUAACACUAAUCCAACACGACUCAACCAAGCCUUCAGUCGCAGCAGCAGCGCUCGCCUUGUGCAGUGCCGCUGGUGCAGCCCACACAAACCUAAUCACGCAAAGGAGCCUAACUAAGCUCAACAACAAAACCAAAUUCUCAACGAUGGAUAUCUUGGUUCCCAUAACGAUGAAGAACGCAGCGAAGUGCGAUAAGCAAUGCGAAUUGCAGAACCGUGAGUCAUCAGAUUUUUGAACGCACCUGGCGCCGGCUGGGCCCUCCAGCCGGCAUGCUUGUUUCAGUGUCUCUUUAUCUCAUCACCCAGAUCAUAAUGCGAGAGAUGCCCUUCUCUUGCCAAGCACGAAAGCACUCUGCGCUCUGCGGGCGGCUUCGACUCGUUCGAGGUCCGCACUCAAUGCAGCGGUCACAUUGCUCACAAUGUGAACUCAUUGAGAGCUGAGGCAGUGCAGCGUCAGCUGCCAGUGCUUAGUCACACAAACUUUACUCGCAUCUGAAAUCAAGCAGGACCACCCGCUGAACUUAA